CUCUCUCAUCUCCUCUCUCCUCCCCGGCACGACCGCGCCUCCCUCCCUCCCUCCCUCUCUCGCGCCUCCCUCGGUUCCCCGAUGCGCCACCGCCGCUCGCCCCCGUGCCGGCCAACGCCGGCCACAUCCUCCGCAGCCACGCCCUAAGAAAGCUGUGCCUUGCCCCAACACCCGGAUCCCCACCCGCGCCCCGCUGUUCCGCCCCUGGGCACGACGCUGCGGCUAACCCUAGCUGUGGGCUCGGUCGCCGCCGCGGUUCCCGCGCCGCCGCGCCUCCUGGUGGUCCCCUUUGUCGCCCCGAAGCCACGCCGCCCCCGCGGACCGGGCGGAAGCCUCUCCCAAAGAUGGAAGAAAAAGUGAGCGAGAUGGUUGAAAUGAAACAGCUAUGCUAGACAGAAGAUAGUCAGAAAACUCUUGAAGCCCUGAAAGAUAGUGAUUGCAUGGAUCUGAAUGAUAUACUUGAGAGUUCUUUUAAUGCAAAUGAGAAGAUUAUAUCAGAGUUUAAUUUACUUCAUCAACCGAGAAAGAAACACACGUGAAUAAACUGAAGAAGUUACUCUACUCAGUAAGAAGGGGCUACUCCUGUGUAGCGCUGGAAGGGUUGUGACAUUGCUGCAGUGGCGGCCGGUGUGGGGGUUGUGGCCUCUGCUCCUGAUGCACCAACAUGUGCCUGAGAUGUUUGUGUGGCUACACAUGCUCCUACCCUAGCUUCUGAUCCUGGUGCCUAUGUCUCUCUACUAGCUGCGUGCUCCUUUCUGGAGCAUCUAUAUAUGUGAAUGGACGGGCCUUUUUUUGCAUGUACUGAUCGAGCUGGAGGUCCAGUAAAUGGGAGGCACUGGGAGCCAAACCAAGGCUUCUUCUUUGUAUGGUUUGCUUUGCUUGUGCAAAGUGUAUGUUAUGAGUAUUGAUGAAUUUGUGUUUGGAUCUACUGUUGCUACUGUAUUAUAAAUUUAUUCAGCUGAUCAUAUAUAUUCAACCUGAUAGAAGAGUGAGAGAUCCAUGUACUGUUACUGAGUUCUUUGUGUGCCAAAACUGAGAAUGGCUAUUGAGAGAUGUGUACUGCAUUUUUUCUUUUCA